UUCCCUGUUUGUUAUAAUAUUAACUCUGCAGACAGCAUGGAGCUCUCGUUCUCUCCUUCGUCUUGACUUCGAAUCCAAGCCAUAUUCCCUCACUGCAAGAGACCCUUUUAUCACACAAAGAUACCCACUAAGCCCACAAGCAAAUCUCAUCGCUCUCUCUCUCUCUUAGAAUGCUACCCAAUGUUGCCUUCAAUUGCGCUGUGCGGUCACAGAAGUUGCUCAAAACCAGCAUCAAACAGACGUUAUAGGCGUAAUUCCAUCUGGGGUAACCAAACCUUAUUUACCGAUAGCUGCAGGGGAUCUAUCAGUUCAAUCUGCAUGGUUAUAGUCAUCAUUUUAGAGGCCAUGAAGAACCAAAUUAAUGGGAUUCAAGUUCCGAGAAAGGAAGCACUGGUUCGGGUUUCAAGGUGGGGAACAUGGUAAUGGAGAUUGUUGUUGUAUAUAUUGAUGAUGCUCUUUUGACUGCAUUAGCACAAUAAUUUACAAUUAUAUUUUGCUUGCCAGAUGAUUCUCUAGAACACUGGAAUUGACCAAAAAAUAAGUUUUCCAGGUACACGGUUUUCUUCUAAAUUUUGGUGUAUAUUACACCACUAGAGUGGUCGUUGGACUUAGAUUCAAGUGGAGGUGAGUUACCAUUUUAUUAUAUGUCUUUCAUAAUAUAAUUGAUUCAGAUGAAGCCACGCUCACAUGCUUCACCUAGGGUUCAAAGAGAUGGACUUCUUAAAUCAGCAGCCUGGGACCUGUUAAGUUGGUGCCUUGAUUUAGCUUAUAGUAACAAACGGACAAAUCAACUAUUGACUUAGGUUUUGGAAAUUUGUAAUUUACAUGAUAUAGGGCUUUCAAAGAUUAUAUGGUUUCGCUUCAGUCGUCUAAAGACUAAAGAUGUACAGCAGCCACUUUAGUUAAUGUGAUUGGUAUAACUCCAUAAUCAAAUAGCUCAUGAUAAGGCUUGAUAAGCUCCUUUAUAUUGUACUUCUAAUACAUGUCUAAAGGUUAUAGUUGUGCUUCUGUAUGACUUAUGGGCCUCCAUUUAUUUAAAACAUGGAUCUCAUAAUCAAUGAGUUGGUGGUUUUCAUUCCUUUAAAUCGUAAUCAGUGCCCAAAUUGAUGAAUGAAUUAGAGUUUGAGUUUUUAUGCACUGGAACAUUUCCUGAACCUAUUUCAUAAAGUCCACCGGAUUAAAAAUGACGUACUUAACGAUAUUGUUUUUCAUCUAGAGGAUGAUGAGCUAGACUGGUUAAUCUAAUAUCUAAUUUUAUAGUCUGAAUUUUGAACCUCUAAUGAUAUUUCCGCUGCAUGUUCUCUUCAAAUUUUUGAGAUCUUAAUUUCCACCUGCAGCUCACCUGUGGCUUUCAUCACUACUUUUGUAACAUUGUUUGCGCUGGUCAUUGCCAUAACAAAAGAUCUUCCAGAUGUCAAGGGUGAUUGCAAAUAAGUUUCAAGGCUUUUUUUUUAUUUUUUUAAUUUACUUAUUUCUUUGAGCUGCUGAUAUCCAUUGACCUUUUCAUCUUUAUGACUUGUAUGUCUUGGAUUUUCCCCUCUACAUUCCUUAAUGUUCGCAAUUCUCUUUCUCAUUUCUUGUUUGGAAGUCGAAUCACAUUUUCAAUCAAACCCAACCCAGCUGUUUCUUUCUCCCAGAAGCUGGCAUCCCUUGUUUGAAAAAUCAACGUCGAUCUAAUCUAUCAAUUUGAUAUAAUCAUUUUACAGGUUUGAGAUAUCAACCUUGGCAACAAAGCUUGGAGUUAGGAACAUUGCGUUCCUUGGUUCUUGGCUUUUGUUGGUAAACUAUGUUGCUUCUGCACUGGCAGCAAUUUACAUGCCUCAGGCUUUCAACCGUAGCUUAAUGAUUCCUGCUCAUAUAAUCUUGUCAUCAAUCUUGAUCUUCCAGAUCAUUAUUUUUUAUUUGGGAAAAUUACACUUACGCCCACCAACUACUAUUCACUUACCAAUUGCCCCUACAAACUACUACUCGUGACACAUGACCCCCUUCAACUACCAAUCAUUGGUACAUAUAUAAACAGAAGAGGAGUGUUCGAACCACCCCUAUUGAUGUUAGAGCCACCCCAAGUACUUAGUGGUGGAUCAGUCACUCUCGAAUCACAGGUGAAGGAAUUGUCACAUCCUCGUUGCCUUUCUUUUAUAUGAUAAAUAUUCUUUUCCUUUCUCCCCCCAUCAAAGACUGCAAAUUCUGAGCCGCCCCAUCAUAGACUGCAAAAGUCCGGGUAAUAGUGGACCAGUUAUUCACAUGCAAAAAUAUCAGUGUGUCUGUGUGUGAAUAAGGUCCAGAUAAUACUAAGCAAAUGGCGAUCAACUUUUGCAAAUUUCUUCAACUGUAAUCUACAAAACUUUACUCUGUGAGAACAUUCUCAUCUUCAAAAGUGAUGCUUUUUGGUUUCCUGCUUUAUGAUUUCAAUACAGGAUUACAUAGAAUUGAAAGAAGGGAAAGGGGUCUCUUCUCUUUUUAGUUUAAAGGGCUGCACAUCCUGCAAAACCCUUUUCAGUUCUCAUUCAAUUUCUACGUAUAUCAGUUGCUCCGGAGCAUGGGAACUUCUGCUUGUACUUGUCUCUCUACACAAAGAAGUUGAGUCACCACCUUUGGGCUGCAGUGGGAUACGAUCCGGGGGGAUGCAUUAACACUUCUUGAUCUUGGA